ACAACAAGGAACCUCCUUGCCAAAAGAUUUCUAAGAAUUUUGUGGAGAGUAAGCCAGUCACAGCAACGAUUGGGGAAAAUAUCACUCUGCAAUGCAUCACAAAGUUUAAAUUACAAGAGAGUGAUAUUGUGGAGUGGAGUAAAGGCAAUGAUGAAAUCUUCACUGUGACGGAGAAUAAACAACAAAUACAAAACAAAGCGUAUGAACAUCGACUCUGUCUUUCCUUUCCUGGAGAACUUGGUAGAAAUGUUGCCUCGAUCAACAUUUCACAAGUGAAGGAAACAGAUGACGGAAUUUACUGCUGCUGCAUUAGAUCAGCAGAGGUACAGUGCAUCAACCAGACUCUUGUUGUGAGGAACAAAUCUUUAACAACCCCAGGUCGCCAUCGCCAAGCAGGAGUAUCAGAUACUAUCUGUUCAACAUCCUCACCUCAGAAUAAUGAGACCACAACAUAUUGUUUUGCUGGUAUUGGUGUUGGUGUUGUUGUUGGUAUUCUUAUUGGAAUUCUUUCAACUUUACUAUAUUGGAAAUGUAAAAAAAAAAGAACCAGAAAGAACAGCGGCCCAGUUAACCCAGAACAGUCAUUACUGCAGGUGAAUACACAAAAUAAUCAAAGGCAGAGAAGGCCUUCCCCUCAGGAAAAUAAAGUUGUCGUAUAAAACAACACGACUGCUGCUUCUGCGGUUCUGAUUGACCUGAGCGGACCAGACGGCUGAUCAGUGCCGGCCCGAGCCUCUUGGGGGCUCUAAGCAGAAAUUUAUUUGGGGCCCCCCCUCCCACCACGCAGAAUCACCUAUGCUAGAAGAUCAUUGACACAAACGUCACGCUAUAAUGUAAUAGCGAAAAUUAGAAUCGAAUACACUGCGGUUAUGUUUCAAUACAAAAUAAAUAAAUGAUACUUAAAAUACUUCACUGUUUUAUUAAAUCUUCUGAAUACAAACUGUCACAAAACAUAUUAAAUUUCAUCAUCAUUCAUUCAUUUAUAUCAGUGGUCCCGUGUAAUUAACUCUUCUCCCUGGCUGUGUUCAGGUGGGGCUGAAUCGCUGCCAAUAAUUAAGUCAACUUUAUCUCCUGGACAGUUUUUGUAACUUGCCUUUUCCUUGCUCUCUUUUUUCAUUUUCUUUUCACUUUGCCACUUCACCUUUAUGCUUAUAUGAAGUGCUCAUGUUAGCUUAGUAGUUAAAAUGCUCCACGUAUUUUACAAACAGUUGCCAAGUGACCCAAGAUGCAGUUGGUGGACGUUUGGUGAUGAUGAGUUUUACCCAAAAUGCACUUGAAGAAAUUAUCGGCAAUCCACUUGAAAAUUUGCACCACGAAGUUAAAUAUAAGAGUUAAAAUAAAGCCAGUCAUGCAGAAAAACAUUUUAUUCAAUAUAUUACACCUAUUACAUCACUAAAAUCAGGCAGUCUUUUACAGUUUGUGGAAACCAUGACUGAGUCCUUACUGUGUAGCAGUUAUAAACUAUUCUCCACCACAGGGAAAUCUAAAAGUAGAUUUUUUUUAAAAUGUACUUAGACUCAGUGAGUUUUAGAUGAACUACAUUAUAGAAAAAGGACAUGGAAGGCAUAGUUAUUUUUGAAAAUGUUUUUUUUUAUGGUGUCUUGUUGGAUUCCAUAAAUUCAUUACCACAUUUAAAAAAUAAAGUCUUUGUUUUACAUGCUAUUUUAUUCAAAACUCAGUAAAUGAUGUUUUUCCUUGAGUAGACAUGUAAAAUAGAUUAAGUUAUUACUAGGACAUAUUUACAUUUAUUAUACUAUGUUUGCUUUAGCUCCAAAUUUACAAAGAGAAAUUGUUUUUCUAAAGCUUGUAGGGACUUUGAAAAACAAAAAAACCUCCAGCUGAAUAUGAAAGUUUUUCUGCCAGUUACUUUUUUUUUCAAGGAAGGCUUUGAUGUUAAUAAGCGAGAACAAGCACGGACUGUCAUUUCAUUUACUCUUUACGUUAUUUCUUCUAUUUCAUUACAUUUACAAUUAUGUUGUGUAUGACUUGGGAAUGUUAUGGAAUGUUGUUCUAGCUGAUCUGAUCCAUUAUUGUUUUAUACAAUAGAGGGUAAAAACUAGUAAAUAAAGUUUUCUUAACAACUUAUUUAUUAAU